rnacentral:tRNA from 1 species
AACCCUAAAAAGUUCUGUAGACA